AUUACCAUAGUCUUUAUUUUUCUAUUAGCACAUCGCAAAAUACCUGCAGGCAGAAUCUGUGAAGAAGGAUCGCCCAGACUUCCUGGAAGGUUGGAAUGGUUAUUUCAAAAUGAAUGUUGCCCGACAGAAUAAUGACAGUGACUGUGGAGCCUUUGUGUUGCAGUACUGUAAAUGCUUAGCCCUUGGACAGCCUUUCAGUUUUACGCAGCAGGACAUGCCCAAGUUGCGUCGACAAAUCUACAAAGAACUGUGUCAGUGCAAGCUAAUUGUGUGAGGAGGGAACAGAGAAUGGGGAAGGGCUCCCUGAUGUCCCACUUUCUCCCAGCGACCAAGACCUAAAUCUGGAGCAAACUUACUUUUCUGCCUGAUUUGUGAAAACAGGAGAGAAACAGCCAGACUUUACAAAAAGAAAAGAAAUGACAGGAGUUCUGUCUUAAAAGAGCAACAGUUCAUUUGAUUUGAAGGGCAUUCCCAAGUUGAUCCCACUGGCAAUCUGCCUACAAAGGACUCUAACAGUGCUUGUUUCACAACAUCUUAUUUCUUUGUUUUAUGGGGAGGGAGUAAAUAAGUAUUUUGAAUAGUUGUGCGUGACUUCUUUCUUGUACCCUUAAGUGGCAUGCACACACACUUCAGUUGUACAUUCAGUGGCACAGCUAAGUUUACACUGUUUCAUUUGGGGAGGGCAUUUUUUCAGUAGCACUUUUUUUUAUGUAUUUAUACUUUACUGGGUAUUAUAAAAUGCAGUCUGUCAUUUGAGGUAGUGCUGGUUUCUGCUUUGGAUACGGGGAAAGGAUCCAUUUGCUAAAUUUCAGAACUGAGGAAUUUUUUAAAUGUAUAGCUGUUGUUGUGAAACAGUGCAGAUAAAUUGUCUGUCUUUUUAGCUAGGUUUGCAGUUGGGGAACUAGGGACUGCGCCCCAGCUGGUGCUCUUUACAGUUUGUAGUGUUACAGCUGAUAUUGAGGACCCAUGUUCUUUUUUGUUGCAUUUUUCAUCUGUUGCCAUAUGUUUUUCUUAUUUAAAAAAUACUAAUGAAGACUCUACUGUUCCCUGAUGUUUUUUUGUUGCUAUAUCUGAGCUGAUCAGAAUGAAGAGAAUUGGAGGUACAUAUUUUUUUUCGUUUUUGUACAUUUUUAUCUGCCCACUUUUAUAAUAGUGUACUGCAAACAUGUCUGGGUUAGUUGUGGGUUUUGGUCAUUCUCAUAUUGGGAUGGACCCACACCCACCCCUAGAAAUUACAUGAGCUCAUCAGUUACAGAUAGGUUCCAGGUGAUGAUCCAUUUUCAUUUUUUUCUGUAAAAUGAAUAAAAUGUUUCUGAAUAAACUACAUACCUCAUGGCUAUGUUAGCAA